GUCCACGCCGUAAACGAUGGAUACUAGCUGUUCGGUGCAAACUGAGUGGCUAAGCGAAAGUGAUAAGUAUCCCACCUGGGGAGUACGCUCGCAAGAGUGAAACUCAAAGGAAUUGACGGGGCCCGCACAAGCGGAGGAGCAUGUGGUUUAAUUCGAUGAUACGCGAGGAACCUUACCAAGGCUUAAAUGGGAAACGACAGGUUUGGAAACAGACUUUUCUUCGGACGUUUUUCAAGGUGCUGCAUGGUUGUCGU
rnacentral:rRNA from 1 species